rnacentral:rRNA from 1 species
GCAGUCGAGCGGACAGAAGGGAGCUUGCUCCCGGAAGUUAGCGGCGGACGGGUGAGUAACACGUAGGUAACCUGCCCCUUAGACUGGGAUAACUCCGGGAAACCGGAGCUAAUACGGGAUAAUAAAGAGAAUCGCCUGAUUUUCUUUUGAAAGACGGUUUCGGCUGUCACUAAGGGAUGGACCUGCGGCGCAUUAGCUAGUUGGUAAGGUAACGGCUUACCAAGGCGACGAUGCGUAGCCGACCUGAGAGGGUGAUCGGCCACACUGGGACUGAGACACGGCCCAGACUCCUACGGGAGGCAGCAGUAGGGAAUCUUCCGCAAUGGACUAAAGUCUGACGGAGCAACGCCGCGUGAGUGAGGAAGGCCUUCGGGUCGUAAAGCUCUGUUGUGAGGGAAGAACAAGUGCCGGGGUAACUACCGGCACCUUGACGGUACCUCACCAGAAAGCCACGGCUAACUACGUGCCAGCAGCCGCGGUAAUACGUAGGUGGCAAGCGUUGUCCGGAAUUAUUGGGCGUAAAGCGCGCGCAGGCGGCUUCUUAAGUCUGAUGUGAAAUCUCGGGGCUCAACCCCGAGCGGCCAUUGGAAACUGGGGAGCUUGAGUGCAGAAGAGGAGAGUGGAAUUCCACGUGUAGCGGUGAAAUGCGUAGAUAUGUGGAGGAACACCAGUGGCGAAAGCGACUCUCUGGUCUGUAACUGACGCUGAGGCGCGAAAGCGUGGGGAGCAAACAGGAUUAGAUACCCUG